UCACUUUUGGUUUACCCUUAUUUCCAUGAUUUUGUUAUUAAUUAAUUAAUUAAUUCUAAAUGUUCAAUUUUGUUUCAUCACUUUCAAUUCACACUCUUCUCUUUCUCACUCUUCACCUGUAGAGCCGUUGUCAGGUACGACGAUGAUCUGUGCUUUAUUUUAUGACGAUGAUUGUUAUUCAAUUUUCCCAUUUCAUUUUUAACAUUUUUCAAUUCACACUCUUCUCUUUCUCACUCUUAACCUGUACAGCUGUCCCGUGUCUAUAAGUGGUUCAAUGCAUUAGACGUGAAUAGCUGGCGUGAUGGGAAAUGAUUUUGUCGGAGAAGAAAAAUGUCACGCCUGCAUGUUUAUUAGGCACUCGUCGACUCAUAUUCAAAGGUACUGAGCUUAAAUGUGUCUUUAUUGUUCUGUUUUCUAUUUGGUACUCAUAUGUUCCUCAAGCUUAAAUGUGUCUUGAAAUGCCACCUUUGUAUUUGUAUGAGACGCAACUUGGUUCACAAACCUAUGGGCCCAAAACUAUCUUCUAAAA